rnacentral:rRNA from 1 species
GUGUCAGCAGCCGCGGUAAGACAGAGGGUGCAAACGUUGUUCGGAAUUACUGGGCGUAAAGCGCGUGUAGGCGGCGGUGCAAGUCGGGUGUGAAAGCCCUGGGCUCAACCCAGGAAGUGCAUUCGAUACUGCAUUGCUCGAGUCCCGGAGAGGAUGGUGGAACUCUCGGUGUAGAGGUGAAAUUCGUAGAUAUCGAGAAGAACACCGGUGGCGAAGGCGGCCAUCUGGACGGUGACUGACGCUGAGACGCGAAAGCGUGGGGAGCAAACAGGAUUAGAUACCCUCGUAGUCC